rnacentral:rRNA from 1 species
UACGAGGGGUCCAAGCGUUGUUCGGAAUCACUGGGCGUAAAGCGGGUGUAGGUGGCCGCGUAAGUCAGAUGUGAAAGCCCCGGGCUCAACCCGGGAAGUGCAUCUGAUACUGCGUGGCUUGAGUACGGGAGAGGAAAGCAGAAUUCCUGGUGUAGUGGUGAAAUACGUAGAUAUCAGGAGGAACACCGGUGGCGAAGGCGGCUUUCUGGCCCAGUACUGACACUCAGACCCGAAAGCGUGGGUAGCAAACAGG